GGUUGCAUCCUCCCUGUCCUCUGACGCCCUCGUCACACUGCUGACUUGCAAGGUGCCGAGCAGCGUGAACAGCAGCGCAGAGACGUGGAAGCUUUUCUUCCAGAAAGUCGCGGGAGUUCUGGAGGUUGCUCUGUCAGCGUACUCCAACAACACCCUCGGUGGCCAUCAGCCUGAGUCCCGUGUUCUCGAUGCCAUUGGAGAGGUGAAAGUCAACAACUUCAGCGCCGCACAACUGGCAGAUGUCAGCUUCAUUACCGACUGGUUCCAGGGAAGGCUGAGACCAUUCUUGCCUGCAGUCUCCAGGGACUUCCUGUCCUGCCUUAGCUCCAAGAACUUCAGUUGCGACACCUACCAAGUUGUGGUGCAGGCUCUAAGUCGUCAAGCGUCCCUCAUGGAGGUGGGGCAACAACGGGUCGUCUUCACUGAAUUUGUCAAUCCCUUCCUCUCGAGAGACGACCUACCAGAUCCUGCCUGUCUUGCCAAUACUACGAGCAGCGCUGACUGGCUGGAGAAGAACUUUGGCAACUUCUCCGUCUACGCUACCUUGGAGGACUUGCAAAGGCUGAAUGAAAAUUUCUCCAGCGUGAGUAGCCCUUGGCUUGCUCCAGUUGCCCAUGUGAAUUGUCAUUAUUUUAGG
ensembl:lncRNA